GUUCCGCCAGAUCGUUCCAUUGAAAAGUACAUCACUUACGUAGACGGCUUGUCACCACUGCCAAUCUGGGGCCUCCCGCGCGACCUUUCUGCCAUUGACGAAUCAAGAUUCGCUGGCAGAUACGCUAGAGCCAAGAGCUUCGCCACAACGUCGUGGGUUUUGGUCAACUCGUUCGAAGAACUCGAGGGCAGUGCCACCUUCCAAGCCCUCCGAGACAUCUCUCCCAAAGCAAUCGCUGUGGGUCCUCUUUUCACCAUGGCCCCCGGCUGCAACAAGGCAAGCUUGUGGAAGGAAGACACCGAGAGUUUAUCCUGGCUCGGCAAGCAAAGUCCCGGCUCGGUUCUCUACAUUUCCUUGGGCACCAUCGCGACUCUCAGCUUCGAUCAGUUCAAGGAGUUCUCCGAGGGACUGAGGCUUCUCCAGCGUCCGUUUAUCUGGGCCAUCCGACCCAAGUCGGUCGCCGGCAUGGAGCCCGAGUUCCUGGAGCGUUUCAAGGAGGCCGUGAGGAGCUUUGGACUGGUUGUGAGCCGGGCUCCUCAGGUGGACAUCCUCCGCCACCCUUCCACGGCUGGAUUUCUCAGUCACUGCGGCUGGAACUCCAUCCUCGAGAGCGUAGCAUCCGCGGUGCCCAUGCUUUGCUGGCCGUGCGUCGCGGAGCAGAAUCUAAACUGCAAGUUGAUAGUGGAGGACUGGAAGAUCGGUCUCAAGUUCUCGUGCGUGACCAUGCCGGAUCCUCCCGAGGUGAUGGCGAGGGACGAGUUUGUGGAGGUGGUGGAGCGAUUCAUGGGAACUGACAGUGAGCAUUUGAGGAUUAACGUGAAGAAGCUGAGCGAGGAGGCUCGUAGAGCAGUGUCUAGUGGUGGCUCCUCAUAUGAAAACCUGGAGAGAUUUGCUCAAGCAGUGAAAAUUUCCUAAACUUCAAUCCAAAGCUAAGAGAAAACUUCAAAGCAUCUACUCUAUUCAAGAAUAUACUACAGUUCUUUCUCUCUCUCUCUGAAGAUAAGCACGCGCUUUGCGCGUAUAAUGGGUUCCAAGGUCAAUGUUGUCGCAAUUCCUCUCCCAGCUCAAGGCCACAUCUCUCCACUCUUGCAUCUCUGCCAAGCUCUCACUUUCAUCCUUUGGGGGAUGCUAUCUCCGAAACACACAACCAUGAGGGAAUGUGCUGGACUUUGUCACGUGCAAGAACCCAUGGCCAAUGUGCUAGUGUAGACUCCAAGGUGAUGCCUUAUGUCAGAAACUGAUGCAAAAAGAAGAAACUAAAGAAAAACAAAAAAAAUAAUAAUAAGAAGAAAGAGAGUGUAAAGUUCUGGAGUCAAAAGGGAACCAUAUGAGGAAAUUUGAUAAAAGAACUAAACACUAAAAAAUGGAAAAACAAAAAGUGAAAAAAACUAAAGAGCAAGGAACAGCUUAAAGAAGAGCUCUAGAGGCCAGUUAUAAUGGCCAUUUGUCUCAAGUUGGUCCCUGGCAUAGAGCCUGAGUUCCUGGAGGCUUUCAAGGCUCUCCUUGAAAGUGAUCAGCUUUGGACUGGUUGUGAGCUGGGCUCCUCAACCGGAAAUCCUCCAGCAUCCUUCCACAGGCUGCGAGAGUGUAUCUUCAGCAGUGCCAAUCCUUUGCUGGUCAUGAGUUGCCGAGCAGAAUCUCAACUGCAAGCUUAUAGUGGAAAACUGGAAGAUCGAUCUUAAGUUCUCACCCAUGAGAGAUCCUUGCAAGGUGGUGGCAGGGAUGAGUUUGUGGAGGUGGUGGAGCAACUCAUGGGAGCUGAGAGUGGCGAUUCCUUUAGAUGUAAUGUGAAGGAGCUCAGCGAGGCUGCUCAGGGAGCAACAGUGAAAGAAGUCAAGAUCUUCAUAUGAAAGUUUGGACAAGUUUGUCAAGUUUCAUAAGGUAAUUUAUAUCCAAUGCCGCAGCUGGUGGCAGGACGAUCAUCGGGCAUGAGGGCGGGGCCAAUGCACAGACAGACCAACCACCAAGAGCACAUAAAGAUGAUACUUGAAAGUGUAUAGGUUGGUGGAAGUGUUAUUUUCCUUCCCAAAGAAAUAGAUGGCGUAAUCAAGAGGAGUAAAACAUUCCUGAAGGAGAACACUAGAUUAAAACCUUUGCAAAACGCACUGAUUCUUAAGCUCAGCCUUGGAGCGAUUUCAAGCUUAUCCAGAAAAGGUAUUGUGAGAAACGGCAGCACCUUCCAGAGCACUCACGAAGUAAGCUUGAAUUUUCUUUGUUCUUCGUCAAUGGGUUCUUCUACUGGUGCCGAGGGGCUCGCUCCUCACGCAGCGGUUCUUCCCAUUCCAACGCUACGCCACAUCACUCCAUUCCUCCAUCUCUCCAGAGCUCUGGCCUCGCGAGGCUUCGUCAUAACUUUCAUCAACACGGAGGGCAACCACAGGGACCUGAAGGACAUCGUUUCACAGGAGGAGAGCUUUGGCUAUGGCGGCGGCAUUCGCUUCGAGACGGUCCCGGGCAUCCAAGCGAGCGACGUCGACUUCGCGGUCCCGGAGAAGCGGGGGAUGUUCUCCGAGGCAGUGAUGGAGAUGCAGGCUCCAGUGGAAAGCUUGCUCAUCAGGAACAUGGCCAGAGACGAUGAUCUCGUUCCUCCGGUCUCGUGCUUCAUCUCGGAUAUGUUCCCGUGGUCCGCGGAAGUAGCAAGAAGGACUGGAAUCCCAGAGGUCAAGUUCUGGAUCGCCAGUGCCUCUUGCGUUUUGCUCGAUUGCUCGUUUCCGCGAAUGCUGGAGAAGGGAGACGUUCCAGUCCAAGGUAAAGCUUCUUUCUUCUUUUUUAUUUGUCCUUCUUUCGAGAAGCACUAACGUGUUCCGCCAGAUCGUUCCAUUGAAAAGUACAUCACUUACGUAGACGGCUUGUCACCACUGCCAAUCUGGGGCCUCCCGCGCGACCUUUCUGCCAUUGACGAAUCAAGAUUCGCUGGCAGAUACGCUAGAGCCAAGAGCUUCGCCACAACGUCGUGGGUUUUGGUCAACUCGUUCGAAGAACUCGAGGGCAGUGCCACCUUCCAAGCCCUCCGAGACAUCUCUCCCAAAGCAAUCGCUGUGGGUCCUCUUUUCACCAUGGCCCCCGGCUGCAACAAGGCAAGCUUGUGGAAGGAAGACACCGAGAGUUUAUCCUGGCUCGGCAAGCAAAGUCCCGGCUCGGUUCUCUACAUUUCCUUGGGCACCAUCGCGACUCUCAGCUUCGAUCAGUUCAAGGAGUUCUCCGAGGGACUGAGGCUUCUCCAGCGUCCGUUUAUCUGGGCCAUCCGACCCAAGUCGGUCGCCGGCAUGGAGCCCGAGUUCCUGGAGCGUUUCAAGGAGGCCGUGAGGAGCUUUGGACUGGUUGUGAGCCGGGCUCCUCAGGUGGACAUCCUCCGCCACCCUUCCACGGCUGGAUUUCUCAGUCACUGCGGCUGGAACUCCAUCCUCGAGAGCGUAGCAUCCGCGGUGCCCAUGCUUUGCUGGCCGUGCGUCGCGGAGCAGAAUCUAAACUGCAAGUUGAUAGUGGAGGACUGGAAGAUCGGUCUCAAGUUCUCGUGCGUGACCAUGCCGGAUCCUCCCGAGGUGAUGGCGAGGGACGAGUUUGUGGAGGUGGUGGAGCGAUUCAUGGGAACUGACAGUGAGCAUUUGAGGAUUAACGUGAAGAAGCUGAGCGAGGAGGCUCGUAGAGCAGUGUCUAGUGGUGGCUCCUCAUAUGAAAACCUGGAGAGAUUUGCUCAAGCAGUGAAAAUUUCCUAAACUUCAAUCCAAAGCUAAGAGAAAACUUCAAAGCAUCUACUCUAUUCAAGAAUAUACUACAGUUCUUUCUCUCUUUCUCUGAAGAUAAGCACGCGCUUUGCGCGUAUAAUGGGUUCCAAGGUCAAUGUUGUCGCAAUUCCUCUCCCAGCUCAAGGCCACAUCUCUCCACUCUUGCAUCUCUGCCAAGCUCUCACUUUCAUCCUUUGGGGGAUGCUAUCUCCAAAACACACAACCAUGAGGGAAUGUGCUGGACUUUGUCACGUGCAAGAACCCAUGGCCAAUGUGCUAGUGUAGACUCCAAGGUGAUGCCUUAUGUCAGAAACUGAUGCAAAAAGAAGAAACUAAAGAAAAACAAAAAAAAUAAUAAUAAGAAGAAAGAGAGUGUAAAGUUCUGGAGUCAAAAGGGAACCAUAUGAGGAAAUUUGAUAAAAGAACUAAACACUAAAAAAUGGAAAAACAAAAAGUGAAAAAAACUAAAGAGCAAGGAACAGCUUAAAGAAGAGCUCUAGAGGCCAGUUAUAAUGGCCAUUUGUCUCAAGUUGGUCCCUGGCAUAGAGCCUGAGUUCCUGGAGGCUUUCAAGGCUCUCCUUGAAAGUGAUCAGCUUUGGACUGGUUGUGAGCUGGGCUCCUCAACCGGAAAUCCUCCAGCAUCCUUCCACAGGCUGCGAGAGUGUAUCUUCAGCAGUGCCAAUCCUUUGCUGGUCAUGAGUUGCCGAGCAGAAUCUCAACUGCAAGCUUAUAGUGGAAAACUGGAAGAUCGAUCUUAAGUUCUCACCCAUGAGAGAUCCUUGCAAGGUGGUGGCAGGGACGAGUUUGUGGAGGUGGUGGAGCAGCUCAUGGGAGCUGAGAAUGGCGAUUCCUUUAGAUGUAAUGUGAAGGAGCUCAGCGAGGCUGCUCAGGGAGCAACAGUGAAAGAAGGCAGGAUCUUCAUAUGAAAGUUUGGACAAGUUCGUCAAGUUUCAUAAGGUAAUUUAUAUCCAAUGCCGCAGCUGGUGGCAGGACGAUCAUCGGGUAUGAGGGCGGGGCCAAUGCACAGACAGACCAACCACCAAGAGCACAUAAAGAUGAUACUUGAAAGUGUAUAGGUUGGUGGAAGUGUUAUUUUCCUUCCCAAAGAAAUAGAUGGCAUAAUCAAGAGGACUAAAAAAUUCCUGAAGGAGAACACUAGAAUAAAACCUUUGCAAAACGCACUGAUUCUUAAGCUCAGCCUUGGAGCCAGAAAGAAACGGCAGCACCUUCAUGAAGUAAGCUUGAAUUUCCUUUGUUCUUCGUCAAUGGGUUCUUCUACUGGUGCCGAGGGGCUCGCUCCUCACGCAGCGGUUCUUCCCAUUCCAACUCUAGGCCACAUCACUCCAUUCCUCCAUCUCUCUAGAGCUCUGGCCUCGCGAGGCUUCGUCAUAACUUUUAUCAACACGGAGGGCAACCACAGGGACUUGAAGGACAUCGUUUCACAGGAGGAGAGCUUUGGCUCUGGUGGCAGCAUUCGUUUCGAGACGGUCCCCGGGGUCCAAACGAGCGAGGCCGACUUCACGGCCCCGGAGACGCGGCCAAUGUUCUUCGAGGCAUUGAUGGCGAUGCAGGGUCCAGUGGAGAGCUUGCUCGUCAGGAGCAUGGCAAGAGACGAUGAUCUCGUUCCUCCGGUCUCAUGCUUCAUCUCGGAUAUGUUGUUCCCGUGGUCCACGGAAGUACCCAGAAGGAUCGGAAUCCCAGAGGUCAAGUUCUGGGUCGCCAGUGCUUCUUGCGUUUUGCUCUACUCCUCGUAUCCCCAAAUGCUGGAGAAGGGAGACAUUCCAGUCCAAGGUAAAGCUGCUUUCUUCUUUUUUAUUUUUCCUUCUUUCGAGAAGCACUGACGUCCAUAUACGUGUUCCACCAGAUCGUUCCAUUGAGAAGCGCAUAACUUACGUAGACGGCUUGUCACCACUACCAAUGUGGAGCCUCCCGGGCGACUUUUCUGCCAGUGACGACGACCCGGGAUUCGCUCGCGGAUACGCCAGAGCCAAGAGCUUCGCCACAACGUCGUGGGUUUUGGUCAACUCGUUCGAAGAACUCGAGGGCAGUGCCACCUUCCAAGCUCUCCGAGACAUCUCUCCCAAAGCAAUCGCAGUGGGUCCACUUUCCACCAUGGUCCCCGGCUCCAGCAAUGCAAGCUUGUGGACGGAAGACACCGAGAGUUUAUCCUGGCUCGGCAAGCAAAGUCCCGGCUCGGUUCUCUACAUUUCCUUGGGCACCAUCGCGACUCUCAGCUUCGAUCAGUUCAAGGAGUUCUCCGAGGGACUGAGGCUUCUCCAGCGUCCGUUUAUCUGGGCCAUCCGACCCAAGUCGGUCGCCGGUAUGGAGCCCGAGUUCCUGGAGCGUUUCAAGGAGACCGUGAGGAGCUUUGGACUGGUUGUGAGCUGGGCUCCUCAGGUGGACAUCCUCCGCCACCCUUCCACGGCUGGAUUUCUCAGUCACUGCGGCUGGAACUCCAUCCUCGAGAGCGUAGCAUCCGCGGUGCCCAUGCUUUGCUGGCCGUGCGUCGCGGAGCAGAAUCUAAACUGCAAGCUAAUAGUGGAGGACUGGAAGAUCGGUCUCAAGUUCUCGCGCGUGGCCAUGCCGGAUCCUCACGAGGUGGGGGUAGCGAGGGACGAGUUUGUGGAGGUGGUGGUAGCGAGGGACGAGUUUGUGGAGGUGGUGGAGCGAUUCAUGGGUGCUGACAGUGAGCAUUUGAGGAUUAACAUCAAGAAGCUGAGCGAGGAGGCUCGUAGAGCAGUGUCUAGAGGUGGCUCCUCGUAUGAAAACCUGGAGAGAUUUGCUCAAGCAGUGAAAACUUCCUAAACUUUGAUCCAAAGUCAACUCUAUUCAAGAAUAUACUACCCUCGAUAUACUUCUUUCUCUCUCUCUCUCAAGAUUGGAUUGGAAAGACGAGAUAAGCACGCGCGUUGCGCGUAUAAUGGGUUCCAAGAUCACACCUCAUGUUGUCGCCGUUCCUCUCCCAGCUCAAGGCCACAUCUCUCCACUCUUGCAUCUCUGCCAAGCUCUCGCUUCUCAUGGAUCCAUCCUCAUCACUUUCGUCAACACGGAGGCCAAUCAAGACAGCAUCAAGGAAAUGCUGGGAGAUGGCGUCGAGGGCAUUCGCUUCGAGACCUUCCCCGGGCUGGAGGCGGCUUACCACGGCCUCGACUUGACCCAGCUCGAGAAUCGCCAGAUCUUCUACCGGGCUAUGGUCGACAUGGAAGCGCCAGUGGAGAGGCUGCUACGAGAGAAGAUCAUCGCCAAGGGCCCCCCUGUUUCGUGCAUCGUCUCCGAGUUGUUCCCCUGGAUGAGAGAUCUGGCGGCCAGAAUCGGAGUUCCAAGCGUUUACUUCUGGCCUACGAGUGCUGCUUGUGUUCUUCUGGAUUUUUCCAUUCCCUUGCUCUUGGAGAGAGGAGACAUACCCGUCGAAGGUAUGAUUAUCAACCAUGGUUCCUUACUUAUUUUCUUUUCCAUGGUUUCUUCCAGAUUUCUCUAUGGACAAAUCCAUCGAGUACGUGCGUGGCUUGUCACCAUUGCCUGUGUGGAGUCUUCCCCGGGUUUUUGCUUUCAGGGAUGAUCCAAGUUUCACUCGCAGGUACGAGAGGCUAAAAAACAUCCCCCAGAAUUCUUGGUUCCUGGCCAACACUUUCGAGGAGCUCGAAGGUGGCGCGCUUGAGGCCGUGAGAGAUUACAUCCCAAGGAUAAUACCCAUAGGUCCCGCGUUUCUAUCUUCACCAUCCAUGAAAAAUGCAAGCCUCUGGAAGGAAGACAACGAGUGCUUAGCAUGGCUCAACGAGCAAGAAGAAGGAUCCGUGCUCUACAUAGCUUUUGGUAGCAUCGCCACCCUGAGCUUGGAACAAGCUAAAGAGAUAGCAGCAGGGCUGGAAGAACUCCAGAGGCCAUUUCUAUGGGGGAUUCGUCCAAAGUCUGUGCCGGGUAUGGAGCCCGAGUUUCUGGAACCGUUCAAAGAGAGAGUAAGAAGUUUUGGGCGAGUUAUAACUUGGGCUCCCCAGCGAGAAGUUCUCCAGCAUGCUUCUAUUGGGGGAUUUUUCACUCACUGUGGAUGGAAUUCUGUGCUGGAAAGCAUGGCUGCUGGUGUGCCUAUGAUCUGCCACCCUUGCGUUGCGGAACAAAAUCUGAAUUGCAAGUUGGUGGUGGAAGAUUGGAAGAUUGGAUUGCGAUAUUCCAAUGUGGGAUCUGGGAAGCUUGUGGUGAGGGAUGAAUUUCAAAAGGUGGUGAAGAAAUUGAUGGAAGAUGACAAUGGUAUUGCGCAAUACAUGAGGAGUAAUGCAAAGAAGCUGAGUGAAGAAGCUAGAAAAGCAGUGUGUGUGGGGGGCUCUUCAUACCAAAAUCUGGAAAAUUUUAUCUUGUCACUAAAAUAAUAAUUUUAUUCCAAUAGUUUGCUUAAUUUAUGUAUGUAAGAAAGUCUUCAUUACUUCGGCAAAUCUCUCCAGGUUUUCAUACGAGGAGCCACCUCUAGACACAGCUCUAUGAGCCUCCUCGCUCAGCUUCUUCACGUUAAUCCUCAAAUGCUCACUGUCAGCUCCCAUGAAUCGCUCCACCACCUCCACAAACUCGUCCCUCGCCACCACCACGUCGCGAGGAUCCGACCUCGUCAUGUUCGAGAACUUGAGACCGAUCUUCCAGUCCUCCACCACUAGCUUGCAGUUUAGAUUCUGCUCCGCGACGCACGGCCAGCAAAGCAUGGGCACCGCGGAUGCUACGCUCUCGAGGAUGGAGUUCCAGCCGCAGUGACUGAGAAAUCCAGCCGUGGAAGGGUGGCGGAGGAUGUCCACCUGAGGAGCCCAGCUCACAACCAGUCCAAAGCUCCUCACGGUCUCCUUGAAACACUCCAGGAACUCGGGCUCCAUGCCGGUGACCGACUUGGGUCGGAUGGCCCAGAUAAACGGACGCUGGAGAAGCCUCAGUCCCUCGGAGAACUCCUUGAACUGAUCGAAGCUGAGAGUCGCGAUGGUGCCCAAGGAAAUGUAGAGAACCGAGCCGGGACUUUGCUUGCCGAGCCAGGAUAAACUCUCGCUGUCUUCCUCCCACAGGGCACUGUUGCGUGGUUCGGAGCCGGGGAUCAUGGUGAAAACAGGACCCACUGCGAUUGUUCUGGGAGAGAUGUCUCGGAAAGCUUGGAAUGCGGCACUGCCCUCGAGUUCUUCGAACGAGUUUAUCAAAACCCACGAGGUUGUGGCGAAGAUCUUGGCUCUAGCGCACUUGCCAGCGAAUCCCGGGUCGUCGUCAUUGGCAGAAAAGUCGCCCGGGAGGCUCCACAUUGGUAGUGGUGACAAGCCGUCUACGUAAGUUAUGCACUUCUCAAUGGAACGAUCUGGCGGAAGACGUUAGAGCUUCUCGAAAGAAGGAAAGGGAAAAAAAGAAAGAUACCUUGGACUGGAAUGUCUCCCUUCUCCAACAUUUGCGGAACCGCGCACUCGAGCAAAACGCAAGAGGCACUGGCAGUCCAGAACUUGACCUCUGGGAUUCCAAUCCUUCUUGUUACUUCCGCGGACCACGGGAAGAACAUAUCCGAGAUGAAGCACGAGACCGGAGGAACGAGAUCAUCGUCUCUGGCCAUGUUCCUGAUGAGCAAGCUCUCCACUGGAGCCUGCAUCUCCAUCACUGCCUCGGAGAACAUCCGCCGCUUCUCCGGGACCGCCAAGUCGACGUCGCUUGCUUGGAUGCCCGGGACCGUCUCGAAGCGAAUGCCGCCACCACAGCCAUAGCUCUCCUUCGAAACGAUGUUCUUCAAGUCCCGCUGGUUGCCCUCCGUGUUGAUGAAAGUUAUGCCUGUAGGAAUAAUGAUGAACACGACAAGCAGUCCGAAUCGUGAUCAGAUCUCUGGUGAUUUCUGAUUUGAUUGAAGUUGUAUAUAUAUACAGCCAUAAAUGAAUCAAUGCGUGUUGAAGUGAAAUUCCGUUGUUCUUGCUCCGCUUUUCUUUCUUGGUAUCGGAGUGCUGGUUUCUGAACUCUUUCUUCUCCUUUCUUUGUGCCUUGCAUCAUGAGCUGCAGCAAAGUUGGAUUGAUCUUGCUUCAGGGAGUCACUGCCUUUGAUGGGAGGAGAGGGUUCAACACUUGGUCCGAGAAAAUGAUGCGCGUGCUGCAGAUGGAAGAACUCUGGGAAAUCGUUUCACCACCAACAAUCGCUGCAGAUGCUCGUACGCGGCGAGCCCCUGCUGUGUUGGGAGCUUCAACUUCAGUGGAAGGAGAAGUCGUGGAUGAAGAGGCAAUUCGUGCCUCUGUUGCAGCAGCUCGACAACAGCUUGAUCCAGGGGAACAAGCUGCGCUGGAGAAGAAGGAAUCUCGAGCAAAAGGAUUGAUUCUUUCUAAGCUUGCAGAUGCCCUUAUGAUGCGUUUGCGUCAUAAGUGUGCUUGUGAGAUCUGGGCUCAUCUCCACAACAAGUAUGCUGUUCUUUCCCUCUCCAAGAUUAGCAUGGUCGAGACUUGCAUUCGUGAGACCCGUUUUCAUCCAGGUGAGAACUUUGAAGAGUUCCUCGCCAAGAUGCAAGAUCUGUGGAUGGAGCUUGAAGGCAGUCCAGCAGCGUUCAACGAAAGCAAGAAAGUUCUGGCACUUUGCGAGGCCAUGCAAGAUUCUUCUUUUAGUUCUUUCGUCCCUACCGUUCGCAUGAUGUCGCUCAACUUUGAACAAGCUGAGCAAACUUUACGCUCGGAGCUGGCUGCGAGAGGUUUAAUUGUGGACUUUGAUCAGAGGCCUUCCCAUGUUUUGAUCUCACAGUCUACAUCAAAUGCUUCUGCAUCAAGCAAUCAGUCAGGGACUGAUUCAGCUCUGUGGGCUGGAAAUCAUCGAGGCAGAGGAGGCCGCGGAAGAGGAGGACAAGGCAGAGGUCGCGGGUUUAGGGGAAAUCCGCAGCAGCAGCAGAAUUCAGGGAAUUCUGGUAAAGAAGCAGCAGUUCGGGAUUGUUUUGUGGGCAAGAACAAACAGGAAUGCUGGACCUGUGGGAUGCCAGGGCACUACUCCAAGGAUUGCCCAGUUGCAGCUUGGCUGCAGCGCAUGAACAUAGGGCUCGCAGCAAAUGCUCAGGAAGGGGAAACACAGGAACUUGUGGCAUCAUCUGAGGUAGCAGUUCCAAACGUUUCUGAAAAACUGACCAUCGAUUCAGGUUCAGAGAGACACCUGAUGCAAAGCGAGUCGAACUUUGUGCAGUUGCAUGCUGCAAAAGGGAAGUGCAUUCGUGUGGGAGAUGGAAGCAUUUUACCUGUUCGCGCAACUGGGGAUGUGCGAGUUCCACUGGGAAGAAAGUCUCUGCUCUUGAAGAAUGCGUGGUAUGUUCCAAAGAUAGUGAAGAAUCUGGUUUCUGUAGCCAGGCUUACGGAUGAAGGUCUGGAUGUGAAUUUCUCCAAACAUCAAUGUCAAGUUCUUGCAAAUGGCCGUCCAUUACUGCAUUUUCCCAGAUGUGGUAACCUGUUUGAGAAGGAGAUAGCUUCUGGAGAAAAAUCGAAUGCUCCUGAGAUAUGCAUGACUGCAGAUAGUUCUCUCUGGCAUUCUCGACUUGCACAUGCCAAUCCCCCUCUCAUCAGGCGUAUGCAGAAGCAAGAGCUUGUGGAUGGCUUCAACGACCACGUUCUUCAAAGUUCAGCAAAAUGUCACACUUGCAUUCUUGGCAAGCAAACCCGUCGUACUUUCAAACCUGCUGUGACCAGAAGCACUUGUCCCUUGCAGCUCAUUCACUCAGAUGUUUGUGGACCCAUGCGACUGUUUGCUCAGAAUGGCACGAAGUAUUUUGUGACAUUUACAGAUGAUUUCUCCAGGCACACGGACGUCUUCUUUCUUCGUCACAAAGAUGAAGUCUUUAGCAAAUUCAAGCAAUUCGUAGUAGAAGCCGAAGUGAAAACUGGUCAGAGGGUUGGUUGUUUACGUACUGAUUCAGGAGGGGAAUACGUCAACAAGUCCUUUCAGCAGUUCUGUGCUGAACGAGGAAUUCUUCAUCAGCGCUCUUGCUCUCAUACCCCUCAACAGAAUGGAGUCUCUGAGCGCAAGAAUAGGACAAUCAUGAACGCAGUUCGGUGCUUCCUUCAAGAAUCAGGACUACCAAAAUUCCUCUGGGCUGAAGCAGUUGGAUCAGCUGUGCAUGUUCAAAACCUUCUCCCUCAUUCUCGCAAUCCCAACAAGAUCCCAGAAGAGCUUUGGACUGGUCAAAGACAAUCGGUGGUGCAUCUUAGGCGUUUUGGUUGUUUAAGCUUUGCAAAAAGGGUGGAUGAGCAUCUUGGCAAGUUGGAGAGCAGAAGCAAGCUGGCCUUUCUUGUUGGAUACGAUUCCAAUUCAAAAGGAUAUCGCCUGUACCAGCCUGGUAAUCAUCAAAUCUUUGUAAGCACUGAUGUUCGUUUUGAUGAAGGAACACUCUACAAAGAUCAUGUUCAAGAAGAAGGAAGCUCAGAUCAGAACAUGAACUGGACUCCGGAAGAAUGGAGUUGGGAUGGUGUUGAAGACGGUGAUGAAGAUGACGAUGAUCUGACAAUCAUCUAUCCCUCAUCUCCUUUAGCAGAUGAUCAUCCAACACCAAUCUCUGGAUCUUUUCUUCCUGAAGAACAGGGCGAUACUACUCAUCGUGCACGAACUGGAGAAGUCGACAGGCUCACACGAGAUCUACCAUUCAAUGUGGAGAACUAUGGGCGGACAUCAUCUAGACGAUCAAGCAGAGCACCUCAUCCCAAGCAAUGGUCUUUUGCAGCAACAGAAAUAGCUUCUGAACCAGUCAACUUUGAGCAGGUGAUUCAAGCUCCUGAUGCAGAUAAGUGGAUUUCAGCAAUGCAAGAUGAGUUGAAUUCUCUUGAUGAGAACCAGACUUAUGACUUGGUGGAAGCUCCUGAAGGACGUGAAGUUGUUGGAUCACGCUGGGUGUUCAAGCUUCACAGAAAUCCUGAUGGAUCAGUACAGCGUUACAAAGCAAGACUUGUUGCUCAAGGAUAUUCACAAGUUCCUGGAGUGGAUUUUGAUGAGACGUUCUCACCAAUUGUGAAGCAGACAAGUAUCAGAAUGCUUCUGGCUUUUACAGCGGAGUUUGGUUUGUGCGCACAUCACAUGGACGUAAAAACAGCCUUCCUUAAUGGGAACUUGAAGGAGGAGAUAUUUAUGCGGCAACCCCCAGGCUUUGAGCUUUUUGGAUCACGGUGCUCCGAACUCGUCUGCAAGCUUCGCAAGGCUCUUUAUGGCCUUAAGCAAGCUUCCCGUCAGUGGUAUGAAUGUUUGGAUUCUUUUCUUAUGGAUCUCGGUAUGCAGAGGUUGAACAGCGAUGGAAAUCUAUAUCUUCUUAGCAACAAUCACACUGUUUUGAAGGAUGUGAAGAUCAAGCUUAUGAACAGGUUUGUGAUGAAGGACUUAGGAGCUGUGCGGCAGCUGUUAGGGAUGGAAGUUGACAGGGAUGAAGCAGACAGGACAAUCACCCUCACACAGUGCCAAUAUGUGAAGAAGCUUCUCAACCAGUUCAACAUGACAAGUUGCAAAUCCGUGGCUACACCAGUCGUCACUGGCAUCAAGUUCACAAGCAAGAUGGAUGAUUUAUUUGAUCAGCCCUCGGUCUAUCGAUCGCUUGUUGGAGGACUACUCUACCUCGCCAACAUGACUCGCCCUGACAUCUCCUUUGCCGUUGGUCUCCUCAGCCGAUACAUGCAGUCUCCGAGUUGUUAUCAUUGGCAGAUGGCGAAGAGAGUUUUGAGAUAUUUGAAAGGAACAGCUGCUCAUGGAUUGGUUUACAAAUGCUCAGGUCAAUCCAAACUUGUUCUUCAAGCUUACUGCGAUGCAGAUUGGGCUGGCAACUUGGAUACACGACAUUCAACCUCCGGAAUUUGCUGCAUAAUUGCUGGUGCUCCGGUUUCAUGGGGAAGCAAGAAGCAAACGACGGUUGCUCUUUCCAGUGUAGAAGCAGAAUACGUAGCUGCCAGUACAGCAGCAAGGGAGAUCAUCUGGCUUCGUCGAUUACUUGGAGAACUCAAUCAACAGCAAUCAGAUGCGACCAUUCUGCAUUGCGACAGCAGAAGUGCAAUCGCCAUGUCAAAGAAUCCUGUGUUUCAUGCUCGUACGAAACAUAUAGACGUGCAGCAUCACUUCAUUCGCGAACAUGUAGCAGCCAGAGAUCUUCACCUGGAAUACGUUCCUUCACAGUAUCAGUUGGCGGACCUUCUAACCAAGCCACUUUCGGAGCUCACAUUCAUCAAGCUGAGGAAUCAACUUGGAGUGUCAAGCACACCCUCAGCUUGAAGGGGGAGUGUAGGAAUAAUGAUGAACACGACAAGCAGUCCGAAUCGUGAUCAGAUCUCUGGUGAUUUCUGAUUUGAUUGAAGUUGUAUAUAUAUACAGCCAUAAAUGAAUCAAUGCGUGUUGAAGUGAAAUUCCGUUGUUCUUGCUCCGCUUUUCUUUCUAUGCCGAAGCCUCGCGAGGCCAGAGCUCUUGAGAGGUGGAGGAGUGGGGAGAUGUGGCCUUGGGUUGGAAUGGGAAGAACCGCUGCGUGAGGAGCGAGCCUCCUGGCACCAGUCGAAGAGCCCAUUGACGGAGAAAAGGAAAAGCUAAACAGUUCUCAAGCUUUUACUUCUUGUGUGCUCUCACGACGAAGGCAAAACAGGCUGGAUCCAGUGCUCCACAUUGUGCUAUCGUCAACUUAUAAGCUACCACCCAAAAUGUUCAAAGAUUGAAAGUUCUUCACCUUUGCUACUCUUCCAUUGCUUGGUGCCUUGAGGACGAGGAUGGAAAUUCUGGCCUGGCAAAGUAAAGCCUGGAAUCCAUUUGCUUAGUGCUUGUGUGUACACGAUCAAAGAGAGAACUGAAUUGCUGCUGUCUUGUUUCCAUCAUCAUACCAAGAGAAAAAGUGCUAAACAGCGAAACAGCUGGCCAAGGAAAAACGACAGACAACCGAAUCGAACUACAGACCAUCUUUAUAUUAUAUAAUAUAAUGUUUAUUUAAAUUUUCUAAGUAAAAAAUAAUAACUGAUCUUUUUGAACAACUUAUCAAAGAAACAUUAUUUUAAUAAAGAAUGAAAUUUAUUUUGAAAUCUCAUGAGCAACAUAAAUGAAAAAAUAGGUAUUAUGAAUAGUUAUCCUGCAUGAUAAAAUAUUCAGACAAAAAUAAUUGUAUAAAUAAUAAAAUUAAAAAAGAAUAUAUUCAUAGACAAAGAACCUAGGUUGGAAUUUUUCUGGACCGCCAGUGCCUCUUGCGUUUUGCUCGAUUGCUCGUUUCCGCGAAUGCUGGAGAAGGGAGACGUUCCAGUCCAAGGUAAAGCUUCUUUCUUCUUUUUUAUUUGUCCUUCUUUCGAGAAGCACUAACGUGUUCCGCCAGAUCGUUCCAUUGAAAAGUACAUCACUUACGUAGACGGCUUGUCACCACUGCCAAUCUGGGGCCUCCCGCGCGACCUUUCUGCCAUUGACGAAUCAAGAUUCGCUCGCAGAUACGCUAGAGCCAAGAGCUUCGCCACAACAUCGUGGGUUUUGGUCAACUCGUUCGAAGAACUCGAGGGCAGUGCCACCUUCCAAGCCCUCCGAGACAUCUCUCCCAAAACAAUCGCAGUGGGUCCUCUUUUCACCAUGGCCCCCGGCUGCAACAAGGCAAGCUUGUGGAAGGAAGACACCGAGAGUUUAUCCUGGCUCGGCAAGCAAAGUCCCGGCUCGGUUCUCUACAUUUCCUUGGGCAGCAUCGCCACUCUCAGCUUCGAUCAGUUCAAGGAGUUCUCCGAGGGACUGAGGCUUCUCCAGCGUCCGUUUAUCUGGGCCAUCCGACCCAAGUCGGUCGCCGGCAUGG
rnacentral:lncRNA from 1 species